rnacentral:rRNA from 1 species
UACGUAGGUGGCUAGCGUUGUCCGGAUUUAUUGGGCGUAAAGAGCGCGCAGGCGGUCGUUCAAGUCGAGUGUGAAAGCCCCCGGCUCAACUGGGGAGGGUCACUCGAUACUGAUCGACUUGAAGGCGGGAGAGGGAAGCGGAAUUCCCGGUGUAGUGGUGAAAUGCGUAGAUAUCGGGAGGAACACCAGUGGCGAAGGCGGCUUUCUGGCCCGUUCUUGACGCUGAGGCGCGAAAGCUAGGGUAGCAAACGGG